rnacentral:rRNA from 1 species
CAACUUUCAGCAACGGAUCUCUUGGCUCUCGCAUCGAUGAAGAACGCAGCGAAAUGCG